UACGGGGGGGGCAAGCGUUGUUCGGAAUUACUGGGCGUAAAGGGCUCGUAGGCGGCCAACUAAGUCCGACGUGAAAUCCCAAGGCUUAACCUUGGAACUGCGUCGGAUACUGGAUGGCUUGAAUUCGGGAGAGGGAUGCAGAAUUCCAGGUGUAGCGGCGAAAUGCGUAGAUAUCUGGAGGAAUACCGGUGGCGAAGGCGGCAUCCUGGACCGACAUUGACGCUGAGGAGCGAAAGCUAGGGGAGCAAACGGG
rnacentral:rRNA from 1 species